AAAGUACUCCCUCCGUCCCAAAAUUCUUGUCUUAGAAUUGUCUAGAUACAGAUGUAUCAAGUCACAUUUUAGUAUUAGAUACAUCCAUAUCUAGACAAAUCUAAGACAAGAAAUUUGGGACAGAGGGAGUAGUUG
rnacentral:pre_miRNA from 1 species